UACGUAGGGUGCAAGCGUUGUCCGGAAUUAUUGGGCGUAAAGAGCUCGUAGGCGGUCUGUCGCGUCGGCUGUGAAAGCCCGGGGCUCAACCCCGGGUCUGCAGUGGGUACGGGCAGACUAGAGUGCAGUAGGGGAGACUGGAAUUCCUGGUGUAGCGGUGAAAUGCGCAGAUAUCAGGAAGAACACCGGUGGCGAAGGCGGCUCUCUGGGCCUUACCUGACGCUGAGGAGCGAAAGCGUGGGUAGCGAACAGG
rnacentral:rRNA from 1 species